AGGAUUUAGAUUUUUGGGAUCUUAAUUAUACUUGAUUAUAGAGAUUUUAUUUUCUAACUUCUUUAUUGUAGAUAUUCCUAAUUAGGUGUGUUGUAAAUAUUUCUAAAUUAGGUUGAUUCUUUGAGUAUAAAUACUUAAAUUUUGUAAAGAUCAAUUCAAUUAAAAUAUAAUAAAAAAUUUUCUCUCAAAAUUUUUUAUGAUAUCAGAGUUUUGCCAAUAUUAUUUGGUAUAAGAAUUCUGAUACUAUUCAUAGAGUUAGGGUUUUUUUAUAGGUUAAGCUUCUUGGCGACUCUAGAGAGGGAGUUGACCGACACUGCCCAUACCAAGAGAGAACUCAUCAAAUUUCUAGCUUAUUCCUGACGUUGCACCUCCAUUUCGGUCACGCGCGUAACCUCAUGCGCCACCCCAGGCUCGACGCUCCUUUCAACGCGUCGGCGCGUGGGUUAUUCUUUGAUGCUCCUUUCCAGCAACUUCCUCUGCACGUUGCACCUCUGACCAGCCUAGACUCGCCGAUGAACAAUUGUUUUUUCUUCAGUAACAAUAUUUUCCCCUGUUUUUUGACUGAAAAAAGUUUUUUUUUCUCAUUUUCCUUGAAAUGGCAAUGAUUAGUAUGGAUAAUGUAAGAGCUUCUGAUAAUACUUUUAUUUUGUCUUUUGAUGCUACUCGAUAAAUUAUUGAUUCUAGUACAAAUGGACACAUGACAAGCUCCUCUAUAGGCUUCCUUAAUUAUUUCUAUGUCUGCAAAAGGACACUAUUAGAGUAGUAGAUGGUUCUUUCACUUUUAUCUUUGGAACUAGUUCUACUGUUUGUAUUUCAAAUAUCAAGCUAUCCUCUUUUCUUUAUGUUCCUUAUUUUUCUGUUAAUUUUUUAUCUGUUAGUGCUCUUACCAAAGCAUUUAACUGUAAAAUUGAAUUUUUUUUCCUGAUAAUUGUGUUAUUGAGGUAUUUCAAAUUGGAAAGAUGAUUGACAAUGAUAGAAUGCAUGAUAGCUUAUAUAUGUUGGAAGGGAAUACUGUUUUUGGUUCAUCUCAAUCUCUUUGUGGCGACAAUAAGGAUGUCAACCUUGAAACUAUACAAUGGCAUAGAUGGUUAGGUCAUUCAUCAUUUUAUGUUUUAGAAAAACUUUAUACUGGCUUAUUCUCUAAGACUCAGUUUGGGUUUUUAUUUUGUGAUGUUUGUGUGAGUAUGCUAAGCAUAUAAGAAACUCUUAUGCUGUGAGUAAUAAUAGGAGUACACAGACUGUUUUCCUAUAUGGUAGUCGUUGGUUUGUUACGUUUAUUGAUUUAUGCACCCGAGUGACUUGAGUUUAUUUGAUAAAGACAAAAAAUAAUGUGUUUUCUUGCUUUCAAUCUUUUUACAGGAUGGUUUGUACUCAAUUUGAUGUUAGAUAAAAGUUUUGAGAACUGAUAAUGGCACAUGGUAUAUGGAUAGUCAUUUUGUUGAUUAUGUGGAGUUUAAUGGGAUACUAUAUCAAACUAGUUGUUCUUACACUAGUGCCCAAAAUAUUGUUACUGAAAAGAAAAAUAGGUAUUUGUUGGAAGUAACCAAAUCUCUCAUUUUUACUAUGAAUCUUCCAAAAAGUUAUUAGGAGAAUGCAGUCUUAGUUGCAGCUUAUCUUAUUAAUAGAUUGUUUCUCAAGGCUCUUGCAUUUAGAAGUCAUUUAGAGGUUCUACAUGGGAAAAAUGCUUAUAAUGUUCUACCGAAGGUGUUUGUGGACGUGUUUUUGUUCAUGCAAGUGGAAAGCUAGAUCCGAAGACUCUUAAAUAUGUGUUCGUUGGGUACUCUCCCUCACAGAAGGACUAUAAAUGUUAACACCUUCCAUUUAGAAAAUAUUUUGUCAGUAUGGAUGUUACGUUUAGAGAGACUGAACCUUACUUUAGUACUACUCCCAUCAUCUCUUCAGAGGAGAAUAACGAGAGAAGAGAUGAUUCAUAGAGCAUUUUACUUAGGAGGGGACUACUGUACUGGGGAGACUAUUGUUGAUCAUGAAGAAAAAAUUGGGCGUUUAGAUAAAUCAGAUUUAAAGAGAUACUCAAGAAGAGACAACACAGAAGCAGAAAGAGUCAUUAUGCAGCUUACUCAGUGUCAUAAAUCUUUCUCUUUCCCAUCUGCUGUGGAAGCCUUCUCUAACCCUUGAACCUUUUGAUGAUCUAAAUAAACCAAUUAGUCAAAGAAAAGAAAUUAGGUCGUACACUAAAUAUGCUAUUUCUAACUUUUUCUCUUAUGAUGCUUUAUCUCCAUCUUAUAGAGAUUUUGCCUUUAUCUAUUUUUUCUGUGUCUAUCUCACAGGAUUGGAAUGAACUCUCAAAGAUUCUAUGUGGAAGGAAGCAAGGUUAAAAAAAAGAAAGCCUUGUUAAAAAUGAAAUAUGAGAGUUGGUGUCUCUUCCACCUUAAAAAAAACUAGCUGACUGCGGAUGUUCAUUGUGAAACACAAAACAGAUAAGUUAAUUGAGAGAGUAAGGCUAGAUUAGUUGCCAAAAGAUACACUCAAACCGAUAGAGUGGAGUACAAGAGACAUUUAUCCCUUUUGCCAAAAUAAACUCAAUCAGAGUUCUGCUUUCUUGCAUUGACUGGGAUCUAGAAUUGUUGACUUAUUUGUUGAUUUUAGGAAUAUGAUUUGAUUUGAUUAGGAUUCUUAGUUAUCUCUGUAAUUAUUAUUUGAUUAUUUGUUUCCUGUUUAGAUAUAAUCCUUUGUGUAUAAAUAGUCAUGUAAACCAAUUGUAAAAAUCAAGAGUGAAAUACAAGAAUACUUUAAACUUUUCCAAAAUUCUUUAUGGUAUCAGAGCUUUUUCCUAAUUUUAAGGUUUUACGUCAAUUUUUUCCUCUUUAGGGUUUUAAAACUCUAUAUCUACUUUUUGGGUACUAACCCAUUGAGGAGCCUUUCCACCUCUCACUGCCGGCACCAGGGAAUCGCCAGUCGCCGGCCUGACUGCCAACUUUGACAUCGAAAAAGCCUGCGUGUGAGGUUCACGCGCCUUCUCUUCCCCGUGUGUGAUACAUUGCCUGCGCUGCUUCACCGCUCCAAUCACUUCAGCUGACGAUUCGGACUGUCUUUGUAACGACCCGGGAAUUGGACCGCUACUGGCGUUAGGGUUCAGAUCGACUUAAGGUCGCCGGAGCCUAUAGCAAGCCUACUAUACAUGGUUUCAAAUAACGGCCGUUAUUUACAGGUAAUGGAGGCAACUGUGGCCGUUACGGCCUUUAAACAACGGCAAAAAAAAAUGUUGCUGUAACGGCCGUUAUGGCCGUUACGCAACGGUAAUGGCCGUUACCGGCUGUUAUGUAACGGCCGUAACAGCCGUUACUUUCCUUUACAGCAAAUCACCAGGAAUCUUGCAUUAUUUUGUCCAGCCAGCAGAUCCAGGAAUCUUGCAGAAGUUGUCCAGCACUCCAGCAGCUCCUCCAGCCUGUUUCAUGUGAAAAACAAAAUAUGCAAUUUGCAAAAAUGUUUUUCUAUCGUUUCUACUUCUUCUUUUUAUUCUUUAGCCUUUACUUUACUCUCUCCUCUCUUUCUUCCAGCAGACCAGCACCUUGAGUCUCUUAUCCUUCUCCAUUUCCUCCAGCCUCCAGCAAGUCCUUCUCCAUUUCCUCCAGCCUCCAGCAAGCAGCAGCCUCAGCAGUAGCAGUGUAGCACUUCUCCUUCAGUCCUUCUCCAUUUCCUCCAGCAGACUCCAGCCUCCAGCUGUCCAGCAGGCAGCAGCAGCAGCAUAAAGAGAGUUCUCUUCUUCUUCCAUAAAUCCAUAGUGUUUUUCUUCCAUAAUCCAUACUUAUUUCCAGCUUUCAUUGAGGUAAGUUACUAAUUACUAUAUAUAAUGUUUAAAAUUUAUGAAUUUUAUGUUUAUUUGAUAUAUUUGUACUUAUUAUU
rnacentral:lncRNA from 1 species